UUAGAGAGUUUUAUCCAGUGUCGGUUCUGCAGAAGAACCCAUUCAUAGCAGACCACCCAUUGCAGCACUUGUAAGGUCGCUAUAAAGAACCCGACAGACUCUGCGACCAAAAGAUCCCACUGACGUGUCGUCAAGCCUUGACGAAGAUUUCAUCGAUCAUAGUGCAUCGGGAUUUUAUCAAAAAAGAGUAAAAGUUGGGGAAAGGCGCCAUCACAUUUUUUGUACUGAUAGACAGAUGCAACUACUCGCACGCGCAAAAACUUGGUAUAUGGAUGCAACUUUUCGGGUGGUGAACAAGCCAUGGUCUCAGCUGUUUUCCAUACACGCCUUCAUUAAGACUGGAGAGACCACCCGACAGUUACCAUUGGUGUUUUGUGUAAUGUCGGGUAAAAGCCAAGACGACUAUUAUAAGGUAGACAGACAGGGCCUCCUUUGAAGGGACUCAGUGAAGGGAACGCGGUUGGUUUAGAGUUUGUCUGACCCCUUUGAAUAUUUGCGUCUCAUCUCCAAUGAAAACAAUCAUGUUGCUCUCAUGCUGUUCUCAACCAGAAUCAAACAUAUAUCGUACCUGAGAUUUGUUAGCAUGUUCCACACAACCCAACAUUUAUCGGCACCGGGAUUAAGGGUGUAUAUCUUUGUUUCUAACGCUUAUUGGGAA